AUUGAACGCUGGCGGCAGGCCUAACACAUGCAAGUCGAACGGUAACAGAAAGCAGCUUGCUGCUUUGCUGACGAGUGGCGGACGGGUGAGUAAUGUCUGGGAAACUGCCUGAUGGAGGGGGAUAACUACUGGAAACGGUAGCUAAUACCGCAUAACGUCGCAAGACCAAAGAGGGGGACCUUCGGGCCUCUUGCCAUCGGAUGUGCCCAGAUGGGAUUAGCUAGUAGGUGGGGUAACGGCUCACCUAGGCGACGAUCCCUAGCUGGUCUGAGAGGAUGACCGGCCCACCUGAACUUGAGCCAGGGCCCAGACUCUAAGGGGAGCCACCGGUGGGAAAUAUGGACCAAUGGGCGAAACCUUGAGGAAGCCAGGCGCGGGGAAUGAAGAAGGCCUUCGGGUGGUAAAUUCUUUUCAGCGGGAAGAAGGGAGGUAAGGUUAAACCCUUGCUCAUUGACGUUACCCGCAGAAGAAGCACCGGCUAACUCCGUG
rnacentral:rRNA from 1 species